AUAUUAUAUUCCUUACAAAAGAUAUUCAGCGGAAAAAAAAGUAAAUGCCAAAGGUAAACUUUACGACAAGUAUACAAAUUAUCUUAAACAUCUACGCAAAAGUGGAUUAAGAUAAAAAAGAAAGAGAAAUUCUUCGGCAAAUUCUGAAUCAGAUGUAAUUUUAAACGAUGACUUGAUUGGAAAGCUUGAGUGGCUUCGUAAUCAUAAAGAUCCAUAUGAAGAAGUAAAAGAAAAAUGGGAUGCUACAUAUGAAAUACGAUUAGCACAAUUGCGACAGGGAACAGGCAGCGUACAUGAUUAUAUUACCGAAUAUGGUGCUCUUCAGUUGACAACUGGCUACAAAUUACUUCUAUCAGAUUUUAAGAAAUUAUAUUUGGAAUAUGAUAUGCGAAUGUGGAGUAAAUGGGCGGAGUUUGCAAGAAAAUUAUCAUUACUAUUGUGUUUGGAAGAUAAUUCUGAUUUAAAUCUUCUAUUAAAAUUAGGACAUCUCUUUACUCCAGUUCCUGUGCCAUUAACAAAUGGUAAGAGAUGGAAGCCUACUACGCAGGAGAUGAUAGAUGGGUUUAUUCUUCAUGUGAAGGUAAAUUAUUUAAAAUAUUGUAUUUACGAUUAACUU